UACAGAGGGUGCAAGCGUUAAUCGGAAUUACUGGGCGUAAAGCGUGCGUAGUCGGUUAUUUAAGUCGGGUGUGAAAGCCCCGGGCUCAACCUGGGAAUUGCAUUCGAUACUGGAUAGCUAGAGUUCGGCAGAGGGAAGCGGAAUUUCCGGUGUAGCGGUGAAAUGCGUAGAUAUCGGAAGGAACAUCAGUGGCGAAAGCGGCUUCCUGGACCAGAACUGACGAUCAGGCACGAAAGCGUGGGGAGCAAACAGG
rnacentral:rRNA from 1 species